GAUGAACGCUGGCGGCGUGCUUAACACAUGCAAGUCGAACGAGAAGUGAAGACGGAAACCUUCGGGCGGAAGGCUUUAUUUCGAGUGGCGGACGGGUGAGUAACGCGUGGGUAACCUGCCUCAUACAGGGGGAUAACAGUUGGAAACGACUGUUAAUACCGCAUAAGACCACAGCACCGCAUGGUGCGGGGGUAAAAGCUCCGGUGGUAUGAGAUGGACCCGCGUUCGAUUAGCCAGUUGGCGGGGUAACGGCCCACCAAAGCGACGAUCGAUAGCCGAUCUGAGAGGAUGACCGGCUACAUUGGGACUGAGACACGGCCCAAACUCCUACGGGAGGCAGCAGUGGGGAAUAUUGCACAAUGGGGGAAACCCUGAUGCAGCGACGCCGCGUGAGUGAAGAAGUAUUUCGGUAUGUAAAGCUCUAUCAGCAGGGAAGAAAAUGACGGUACCUGAGUAAGAAGCCCCGGCUAACUACGUG
rnacentral:rRNA from 1 species